rnacentral:rRNA from 1 species
GAUGAACGCUGGCGGCGUGCCUAAUACAUGCAAGUCGAGCGAAAAGACGAGGAGCUUGCUCCUCCGACGUUCGAGGCGGUCGGGAGAGUAACACGUGGAUAACCUACCUAUUAGAAUGGGAUCACUUCGGGAAACCGGAGACAAUACCGGAUAUUAUAUUGAACCGCAUGGUUCAAUAGUGUACGACGGUUUUGGUGUCACUUGUAGAUGGAUCCGCGCCGCAUUAGCUAGUUGGUAAGGUAACGGCUUACCAAGGCGACGAUGCGUAGCCGACCUGUGAGGGGGAUCGGCCACACUGGAGGUGAGACGCGGACCAGACGCCUAAGGGACGCAGCAGUAGGGAAUGGGCCGCAGUAGGCGGAAGCCUUACGGAGCAGGGCCGCGUGUGAGGUGAAGGUGUUCGGAGCGUAAUACUCUGUUAUGAGGGGAGAACAAAUGUGUAAGGAGCUAUGCACGUCUUGACGGUACCUAAUCAAAAAGCCACGGCUAACUACGUG